AAAAAUCAAAUUCGUAUGGAGUUUGUAACGUUUGCCUACGUUUGCCGCUAGGAGCGCUGUUCUAACUCCACACAAAUAUGAGUUA
rnacentral:pre_miRNA from 1 species